AGCAGCCGCGGUAAUUCCAGCUCCAAUAGCGUAUAUUAAAGUUGUUGCAGUUAAAAAGCUCGUAGUUGAAUUUCGAGACCGGUUUACUGGUCGUGCUUUUGUACGUACUGGUAUUAUUGGUUUCUCCUUUCUGACGAAUCUUAAUGCCAUUAAUUUGGUGUUUUGGGGAAUCAGGACUGUUACUUUGAAAAAAUUAGAGUGUUUAAAGCAGGCUCACGCUUGAAUACAUUAGCAUGGAAUAACGGAAUAGGACGUUUGAUUCUAUUUUGUUGGUUUCUAGGGUCGACGUAAUGAUUAAUAGGGAUAGUUGGGGGCAUUAGUAUUCAAUUGUCAGAGGUGAAAUUCUUGGAUUUAUUGAAGACUAACUACUGCGAAAGCAUUUGCCAAGGAUGUUUCAUUAAUCAAGAACGAAGUUAGGGAUCGAAGACGAUCAGAUACCGUCGUAGUCUUAACCAUAAACUAUCGCCGACUAGGAAUCGGAUGAUGUUAAUUUUUAAUGUACUCUAUUCGGCGUCCUUAC
rnacentral:rRNA from 1 species